rnacentral:rRNA from 1 species
AACGAACGCUGGCGGCAUGCCUAACACAUGCAAGUCGAACGAGACCUUCGGGUCUAGUGGCGCACGGGUGCGUAACGCGUGGGAACCUGCCCUUAGGUUCGGAAUAACUCCCCGAAAGGGGUGCUAAUACCGGAUAAUGUCUUCGGACCAAAGAUUUAUCGCCUUUGGAUGGGCCCGCGUUGGAUUAGCUAGUUGGUAGGGUAAAAGCCUACCAAGGCGACGAUCCAUAGCUGGUCUGAGAGGAUGAGCAGCCACACUGGGACUGAGACACGGCCCAGACUCGUGCGGGAGGGAGCAGUGGGGAAUAAAGGAGGAUGGGCGAAGGGCUGAACCACCCAUGCGGGGUGAGUGAUGAAGGCCGUAGGGUAAAAAAGCUCUUGUACCCGCGAUGAGAAUGACGGGACCGGGAGAAUAAGAAAGGGCUAACUGCGUG